AUUCAACCCCGUGUUGCAAACAGUCUAAAGGUUUGUCACACUGAGAGACACCAGAAAAACUGUCCUCAAGAAAAAGAUGGCAGCUCAUUUCACAAAAGAGACAAAGUUCAAAGAUUUGCCUUUCUAAGUGUCUUCUAAGCCUCUGGAGAGAGAGGGGAAGAGUACAUGAAGCCUUUGGUGUUCAGUUAUAGUAACAGCGUUUUAAAUAAAAGACAAGUCUCCUACUUUAGCCCAGAACUCUCAACAGACCUGCUUCAGCCUACCAAGCACUGCCAUGACAGAACUCAAAUUAGAAUUCUUUUUCAAUUAGAUUUAGGGACAUAUACUAGAUUACCUGUAUUUUAAUGUGUCAUCUAAGAUACAUUCAAAUUGGAAACAGAAAUACUCAUUAAAAAGUUUGAAGCAAGGCUAGAGAGAUGACUCAGCGGUUAAGAGCACUGGUUGCUCUUCCAGAGGACCUGGGUUCAAUUCCCAGCACUCACAUGGCAGCUCACAGCUGUCUGUAACUCCAGUUCCAAAGCCUGACACCCUCACACAGACACACAUGCAGGCAAAAACAACAGUGAACAUAAAGUAAAAAACAAAACCACACACACACACACACACACACACACACACACACACAAAUAUUUGAAGCAGGGUAGGCAUAGUAGGUGUGUGUCUAUACAGUUGUGAAGUUGAGACAGAAGGAUUCAGAGUUUGAGGCCAACCUGGACUACAUAGUGACUUCAAAGCCAGCAUAGUCUACAUAGCAAGUUCUUGUCUCAAACAAAACUAAAAACAAGACAAAAACACCCAAAAUAAAAAAAAAAAAUCAACUAACCAAUAAACCCAGGUUCUUUAGCAAGUCUAUAACAAACAGCAAGAAAAUUCCUUUAGAAUUGGGUGGGCGAGUGAAUGACCAUACCCUUGCCUUAUUCCCCCAAGUCCCACAGGUUUCCCCACCUCAAGCUGGGCUCUUGCUAUGUUACCCAGGCACAUCCUCCAGCCACAGCUUUCUGAGUGCAGAGAUUAUAGGUAGGUGCCACAAUGGUUCUUCACACUUUCAUCUUUAAUUCAGUGUGUGCAAUCACAUUAUUUCUUUAGGCAAACUUUCUUAAGGGAAACUUUCUUACAGGAUAAAUAAUAUCAGAAUUUCUGAAACAAAAGGUCCUGAAAUUUUUGAUAUAUACAUGAAAGAAAUUUCCUUAUAAACUUAGCCAAGGCUGAACAGUCACUUAUCUCCUUUGUGAAACCUGAAUUUCAAUUACAUCUCACUUGAACUAA